rnacentral:rRNA from 1 species
GAUGAACGCUGGCGGCGUGCCUAAUACAUGCAAGUCGAGCGAACAGACGAGGAGCUUGCUCCUCUGACGUUAGCGGCGGACGGGUGAGUAACACGUGGAUAACCUACCUAUAAGACUGGGAUAACUUCGGGAAACCGGAGCUAGUACCGGAUAAUAUAUUGAACCGCAUGGUUCAAUAGUGAAAGACGGUUUUGCUGUCACUUAUAGAUGGAUCCGCGCCGCAUUAGCUAGUUGGUAAGGUAACGGCUUACCAAGGCGACGAUGCGUAGCCGACCUGAGAGGGUGAUCGGCCACACUGGAACUGAGACACGGUCCAGACUCCUACGGGAGGCAGCAGUAGGGAAUCUUCCGCAAUGGGCGAAAGCCUGACGGAGCAACGCCGCGUGAGUGAUGAAGGUCUUCGGAUUGUAAAACUCUGUUAUUAGGGAAGAACAAAUGUGUAAGUAACUAUGCACGUCUUGACGGUACCUAAUCAGAAAGCCACGGCUAACUACGUG